rnacentral:lncRNA from 1 species
CAUCAGGAAUCAUGUCGCAGCGAACUUAAUUUCAAGGUCCUUCAAUAGAACCACAAAUUGCACGUUUAGUGAAAUUGCUAGCACAGCAAUGCAGAGGCUAAUGUACGUCAGCGCAACGAUCUAUUAAUCGUUGUUGUGGUACUCCAAUCCUCCAAACACUAUGCAGCUCGUUACCCGGGCAUGUUGAUGGGUUUCCUCUUGCACGCUUCCACUGUUAUUACCUUACUGGGGGUAUAUGUAAGUCAUGUGGUGUGCAUCCAUUGCUACCGU